GUUUGUUUGUAGAUAUAGGUAAUUUGACCUGCCCCCUGAUUUAGAAUUAAAGGGCCGCAGUAUUAUAACUGUGCAAAGGUAGCAUAAUCAUUAGGUUUUUAAUUGGGAUCUUGUAUGAAUGGUCGGACAAAAGAAAUUCUCUCUUUAUAUUAAAUUUUAAAUUUAACUUUUAAGUGAAAAGGCUUAAAUGGGCUAAAGGGACGAUAAGACCCUAUAAAACUUUACAUUGUAAUUAUAUUUAAGUGAAUUUAUAAAUAAAGGUUUGAUUUAAUUAUUUGUUAUGUUGGGGAGACACAUGUAAAAUUAUAUUUAACUGCUUUGGUAAUUUAUACAAUUAUUAUUGAUAAAUAAAAGAUCCUUUUUAAAGAUUAUUAGAUUAAGUUACUUUAGGGAUAACAGCAUAAUCUCUUUUGAGAGUUCCUAUCGAAAAAGGGGAUUGUGACCUCGAUGUUGAAUUAAAAUGUCUUUAUAAUGGAGAGGUUAUAUAAGAAGGCCUGUUCGGCCUUUAAAUUUUUACAUGAUUUGAGUUCAAACCGGUGUGAG
rnacentral:rRNA from 1 species